rnacentral:ncRNA from 2 species
AAGUUAUCAAGAAAGGUGGAGGGAUUAGACCCUUUGAAGCCUUAGCAACCUGCUGUUCCAUACAGAGAAGGUGCUACAUUCUACCCACUCCAAAACAACUUUGGGGAACCAACGGUUCUAGCGAACCUUUAUUUGGGAAGGAUAACAA